rnacentral:rRNA from 1 species
GACCAUCGCUGCCGGCGUCCCCAGCACAUGCAAGUCGAGCGGUAGCGGCGGCUCGGAGUACACGAGCGGGGUCCCACUGAGAGACCCGUGGGUGACCUGCGCUCAGCUCCAGGAUAAGCCCUCGAAUUUGCGUCUCAUACUGUAUAUGACUCACAUGACGCAUGUUGUGGGGUGGAAAGCCUUGUGCGGCUGAGGAUGUCCUCGCGUCCUAUCAGCUUGUUGGUGGGGCGAUGACUUCACUAGGCGACGACGAGUAGCCGCCUUGAGAGGUCGACCGCCCACUCUGAGAUUGAGACACGGCCCAGACUCCUACGGGAGGCAGCAGUGGGGAAUCUUGUGCAAUGGGAGAAAGCCUGACGCAGCGACGCCGCGUGAGGGAUGACGGCCUUCGGGUUGUAAACCUCUUUCAGCUCCGACGAAGCGGAAGUGACGGUAGGAGCAGAAGAAGCACCGGCCAAUUACGUGCCAGCAGCCGCGGUAAUACGUAGGGUGCAAGCGUUGUCCGGAAUUAUUGGGCGUAAAGAGCUCGUAGGCGGUCCGUCGCGUCGGCUGUGAAAACUCGGGGCUCAACUCCGAGCUCGCAGUCGAUACGGGCAGGGUAGAGUUCGGCAGGGGAGACUGGAAUUUCUGGCGUAGCGCUGAAAUGCGCAGAUAUCAGGAGGAACACCGGUGGCGAAGGCGGGUCUCUGGGCCGAUACUGACGCUGAGGAGCGAAAGCGUGGGGAGCCAACAGGAUUAGAUACCCUGGUAGUCCAGGCCGUAAACGUCAGGCGUUAGGUGUGGGAUCCCUUCCACGGGUCCCCUGCAACAGCUAUCGCACUAAGCGCCCCGCCUGGGGAGUACGGCCCCAAGGCUAAAACUCAAAUGAAUCGACGGGG